rnacentral:rRNA from 1 species
UACGGAGGGUGCAAGCGUUGUUCGGAUUUACUGGGCGUAAAGCGCGCGCAGGUGGAUGAACAAGUCGGAAGUGAAAUCUUGAGGCUCAACCUCGAGGCUGCUCCCGAAACUGUUCGUCUAGGGACUGGUAGAGGCUGGUAGAAUUGCAGGUGUAGCGGGUGAAUGCGUAGAGAUCUGCAAGAAUACCCGUGGCGAAGGCGGCCAGCUGGGCCGGUUCUGACGCUGAGGCGCGAAAGCGUGGGGAGCAAACAGG